rnacentral:misc_RNA from 1 species
ACAAACUUGGUCAUUUAGAGGAAGUAAAAGUCGUAACAAGGUUUCCGUAGGUGAACCUGCGGAAGGAUCAUUAAUGAGUUGAAUUGAAGCUGUUCUGGUCUUUCGGGGCAAGUGAACGCUUCUCAAUCCAUCCUACACCUGUGCACUUUGAAAGGGAGGAAUACUUUGGAUCUAAGUUGGGCAACGACUUGUGAUCUUUAGCCUCCCUUUUUCUAUACUCAACUACAGUUAUAGAAAGUCUUUUUUUUUUUGCUUGAUGCGAAAAUAAAUACAACUUUCAGCAACGGAUCUCUUGGCUCUCGCAUCGAUGAAGAACGCAGC